rnacentral:tRNA from 1 species
GCAGUAUAAAACAUAUAAGCUUCUAACUUAUAUACUAGUGAACCCAUUAAUGCUGCU